UAGUCAUAUGCUUGUCUCAAAGAUUAAGCCAUGCAUGUCUAAGUACAAGCCUCACUAAGGUGAAACCGCGAAUGGCUCAUUAUAUCACACCUAAUCUACUGGAUAGUUAACAGUUACUUGGAUAACUGCGGUAAUUCUGGAGCUAAUACAUGCACAAAGCCCCGAACUUACGUGAGGGGCGCUUUUAUUAGAUCAAAACCAAUCGGCUUCGGCUGAACUCUUGGUGACUCUGAAUAACUUUGGGCUGAUCGCAUAGCCUAGCGCUGGCGACAUAUCCUCCGAAGGUGUGCCCUAUCAACUGUCGACUGUGGCAUAGACGCCCACAGUGGUUUUGACGGGUAACGGGGAAUCAGGGUUCGAUUCCGGAGAGGGAGCCU
rnacentral:rRNA from 1 species